UCCGAAUUGGUGUAUCGGUAACAUAUCCGCCUCUCAUCCAGUUGGCUUAGAACGCGGUUGCGCGGGGUUCGAUUCCCCGAUUCGGAG